UCAUGAUAAUGGUUUAGGUAAAUGUUUCAUGAUAAGAAUUUCAUGUCUUUUGUAUUAAAGAAUUAAAUGGAUGAAAUAUGAAGUUUUAUUAAAAGAAAAAGGGGUGAAAAGAACAAAGUUUUGUCCAUCUUUGUUCAUCAUAGCUGAAAGUUAGAGAAGAGAAAGGAGAGGAGAAAGCUCUUGAGUAUUCGGUCAUUAGAAGGAGGAAAAUUGAAGGCGGUUCGUGUGUGGAUCUUGUCAGCAUAUCGUCGCAAACAGGAAAUCCCCAACCAUAAUGGGCUUGGAGCUGUGAGGGAAUUCGAAGUGGCCACCCGUUCUGAAAGUUUGAUUUUCUUCUGGAAAUCCCCAACCAUAGUGGGCUUGGAGCUGUGAGGGAAUUCGGAGUGGCCACCCGUUCUGAAAGUUUGAUUUUCUUCUGGUGAACUGGACAUCCUUUUAAUUACGUUUGAGGUUUUGGGCUUUUAAAUGUAAUAAGGCCGCUUAUUUAUUUUUGAUGGUUUUAAUAUGUAUUACUAAGAUAGGUAUUACUUA